rnacentral:rRNA from 1 species
CCUAGGGGAGGCAGCAGUGAGGAAUAUUGGUCAAUGGCCGAGAGGCUGAACCAGCCAAGUCGCGUGAGUGAAGAAGUAUUUCGGUAUGUAAAGCUCUAUCAGCAGGGAAGAAAAUGACGGUACCUGACUAAGAAGCCCCGGCUAACUACGUGCCAGCAGCCGCGGUAAUACGUAGGGGGCAAGCGUUAUCCGGAUUUACUGGGUGUAAAGGGAGCGUAGACGGUGCAGCAAGUCUGAUGUGAAAGGUCGGGGCCCAACCCCGGGACUGCAGUGGAAACUGUUGAACUGGAGUACAGGAGAGGUAAGCGGAAUUCCUAGUGUAGCGGUGAAAUGCGUAGAUAUUAGGAGGAACACCAGUGGCGAAGGCGGCUUACUGGACUGUAACUGACGUUGAGGCUCGAAAGCGUGGGGAGCAAACAGGAUUAGAUACCCCAGUAGUC